rnacentral:rRNA from 1 species
GCAUCCUACGGGAGGCAGCAGUGGGGGAUAUUGCACAAUGGGGGGAACCCUGAUGCGGCGACGCCGCGUGGGUGAAGAAGCGCCUCGGCGCGUAAAGCCCUGUCAGCAGGGAAGAAAAUGACGGUACCUGAAGAAGAAGCCCCGGCUAACUACGUGCCAGCAGCCGCGGUAAUACGUAGGGGGCAAGCGUUAUCCGGAUUUACUGGGUGUAAAGGGGGCGCAGACGGCGAUGCAAGCAAGGAGUGAAAGCCAGGGGCCCAACCCC